GGUUAAGCGACUAAGCGUACACGGUGGAUGCCCUGGCAGUCAGAGGCGAUGAAGGACGUGCUAAUCUGCGAAAAGCGCCGGCGAGGUGAUAUGAACCCUUGACCCGGCGAUGUCCGAAUGGGGAAACCCAGUGCAAUUCGUUGCACUAUCGUUAACUGAAUACAUAGGUUAACGAGGCGAACCGGGGGAACUGAAACAUCUAAGUACCCCGAGGAAAAGAAAUCAACCGAGAUUCCCCCAGUAGCGGCGAGCGAACGGGGAGCAGCCCAGAGUCUGAAUCAGCUUGUGUGUUAGUGGAAGCGUCUGGAAAGUCGCACGGUACAGGGUGACAGUCCCGUACACGAAAAUGCACAGGCUGUGAACUCGAAGAGUAGGGCGGGACACGUGGUAUCCUGUCUGAAUAUGGGGGGACCAUCCUCCAAGGCUAAAUACUCCUGACUGACCGAUAGUGAACCAGUACCGUGAGGGAAAGGCGAAAAGAACCCCGGCGAGGGGAGUGAAAAAGAACCUGAAACCGUGUACGUACAAGCAGUGGGAGCACCUUCGGGUGUGACUGCGUACCUUUUGUAUAAUGGGUCAGCGACUUAUAUUCUGUAGCAAGGUUAACCGUAUAGGGGAGCCGAAGGGAAACCGAGUCUUAACUGGGCGUUAAGUUGCAGGGUAUAGACCCGAAACCCGGUGAUCUAGCCAUGGGCAGGUUGAAGGUUGGGUAACACUAACUGGAGGACCGAACCGACUAAUGUUGAAAAAUUAGCGGAUGACUUGUGGCUGGGGGUGAAAGGCCAAUCAAACCGGGAGAUAGCUGGUUCUCCCCGAAAGCUAUUUAGGUAGCGCCUCGUGAACUCAUCUUCGGGGGUAGAGCACUGUUUCGGCUAGGGGGCCAUCCCGGCUUACCAACCCGAUGCAAACUACGAAUACCGAAGAAUGUUAUCACGGGAGACACACGGCGGGUGCUAACGUCCGUCGUGAAGAGGGAAACAACCCAGACCGCCAGCUAAGGUCCCAAAGUCAUGGUUAAGUGGGAAACGAUGUGGGAAGGCCCAGACAGCCAGGAUGUUGGCUUAGAAGCAGCCAUCAUUUAAAGAAAGCGUAAUAGCUCACUGGUCGAGUCGGCCUGCGCGGAAGAUGUAACGGGGCUAAACCAUGCACCGAAGCUGCGGCAGCGACGCUUAUGCGUUGUUGGGUAGGGGAGCGUUCUGUAAGCCGUUGAAGGUGACCUGUGAGGGUUGCUGGAGGUAUCAGAAGUGCGAAUGCUGACAUAAGUAACGAUAAAGCGGGUGAAAAGCCCGCUCGCCGGAAGACCAAGGGUUCCUGUCCAACGUUAAUCGGGGCAGGGUGAGUCGACCCCUAAGGCGAGGCCGAAAGGCGUAGUCGAUGGGAAACAGGUUAAUAUUCCUGUACUUGGUGUUACUGCGAAGGGGGGACGGAGAAGGCUAUGUUAGCCGGGCGACGGUUGUCCCGGUUUAAGCAUGUAGGCGGAGGUUCCAGGUAAAUCCGGUACCUUUUUAACGCUGAGGUGUGAUGACGAGGCACUACGGUGCUGAAGUAACAAAUGCCCUGCUUCCAGGAAAAGCCUCUAAGCAUCAGGUAACAUCAAAUCGUACCCCAAACCGACACAGGUGGUCAGGUAGAGAAUACCAAGGCGCUUGAGAGAACUCGGGUGAAGGAACUAGGCAAAAUGGUGCCGUAACUUCGGGAGAAGGCACGCUGAUAUGUAGGUGAAGCCCCUGCGGGUGGAGCUGAAAUCAGUCGAAGAUACCAGCUGGCUGCAACUGUUUAUUAAAAACACAGCACUGUGCAAACACGAAAGUGGACGUAUACGGUGUGACGCCUGCCCGGUGCCGGAAGGUUAAUUGAUGGGGUUAGCGGUAACGCGAAGCUCUUGAUCGAAGCCCCGGUAAACGGCGGCCGUAACUAUAACGGUCCUAAGGUAGCGAAAUUCCUUGUCGGGUAAGUUCCGACCUGCACGAAUGGCGUAAUGAUGGCCAGGCUGUCUCCACCCGAGACUCAGUGAAAUUGAACUCGCUGUGAAGAUGCAGUGUACCCGCGGCAAGACGGAAAGACCCCGUGAACCUUUACUAUAGCUUGACACUGAACACUGGUCCUUGAUGUGUAGGAUAGGUGGGAGGCUUUGAAGCGUGGACGCCAGUCUGCGUGGAGCCAACCUUGAAAUACCACCCUUUAAUGGCUGGUGUUCUAACGUAGACCCGUAAUCCGGGUUGCGGACAGUGUCUGGUGGGUAGUUUGACUGGGGCGGUCUCCUCCCAAAGAGUAACGGAGGAGCACGAAGGUUAGCUAAUCCUGGUCGGACAUCAGGAGGUUAGUGCAAUGGCAUAAGCUAGCUUGACUGCGAGAGUGACGGCUCGAGCAGGUGCGAAAGCAGGUCAUAGUGAUCCGGUGGUUCUGAAUGGAAGGGCCAUCGCUCAACGGAUAAAAGGUACUCCGGGGAUAACAGGCUGAUACCGCCCAAGAGUUCAUAUCGACGGCGGUGUUUGGCACCUCGAUGUCGGCUCAUCACAUCCUGGGGCUGAAGUAGGUCCCAAGGGUAUGGCUGUUCGCCAUUUAAAGUGGUACGCGAGCUGGGUUUAGAACGUCGUGAGACAGUUCGGUCCCUAUCUGCCGUGGGCGCUGGAGAAUUGAGGGGGGCUGCUCCUAGUACGAGAGGACCGGAGUGGACGCAUCACUGGUGUUCGGGUUGUCAUGCCAAUGGCACUGCCCGGUAGCUAAAUGCGGAAGAGAUAAGUGCUGAAAGCAUCUAAGCACGAAACUUGCCCCGAGAUGAGUUCUCCCUGAGACUUUAAGUCUCCUGAAGGAACGUUGAAGACGACGACGUUGAUAGGUCGGGUGUGUAAGCGCAGCGAUGCGUUGAGCUAACCGAUACUAAUGAACCGUGAGGCUUAACCUUAC
rnacentral:rRNA from 1 species